UACGUAGGGGGCGAGCGUUGUCCGGAGUUACUGGGCGUAAAGGGCAUGCAGGCGGUCGGACGCGUUUCGGGUGACAGCGGGUGGCUUAACUACCCGAGUGGUCGAAAGACGGUUUGACUUGAGGACGCGAGAGGGACACGGAAUUCCGGGUGGAGUGGUGAAAUGCGUAGAGAUCCGGAGGAACACCGAAGGCGAAGGCAGUGUCCUGGCGCGUGACUGACGCUGAGGUGCGAAAGCCAGGGAGCGAACGGG
rnacentral:rRNA from 1 species